UCGGGCUAAACGGAGAGUUAGCGGUGCUCUGUACCCACAAUCCGCUAUAUGUGGGGUUGAAUGCUCGGCGCGGUUUAGUUUUGUCAAAAAUGUGCGUGUGCUUUGCGUGAUGAAAUCAAGGUCUUAUGCAAUCAAAACCCUUGAACCAUGUCAGGCCCUGACGGGAGCAUCAUUAAAAGGACCUUUUGGUGUGCCAUAAGGUGGCUUUGGUGGAGCGUAAUACACACGAGGCAGUUGGUAAAACUCUAUCAACCCGAGAUGCCCGA
rnacentral:SRP_RNA from 1 species